rnacentral:rRNA from 1 species
UACGUAGGGUGCGAGCGUUAAUCGGAAUUACUGGGCGUAAAGUGUGCGCAGGCGGCCGCGCAAGUCGAGUGUGAAAUCCCCGAGCUCAACUCGGGAACUGCGUCCGAUACUGGUGGGCUUGAAUCCGGGAGAGGGAUGCGGAAUUCCAGGUGUAGCGGUGAAAUGCGUAGAUAUCUGGAGGAACACCGGUGGCGAAGGCGGCAUCCUGGACCGGCAUUAACGCUGAGGCGCGAAAGCUAGGGGAGCAAACGGG